rnacentral:lncRNA from 1 species
UCUGCGUUAAGUCCCUGACGGUUAAAAUUUAUAAAAUAAAAAAUAUAUGAAUCGGGCAACAAAAAAAAGAACAGAUUUUCCUUUCACUCGAUAUAUGUAAAUUUUGAAUUGCAUGUAUACUGUAAAGUAAUGAGUGAAAAAUAUUAAUCACUUAUUUGUAUGUGUCAUAAUUAGGAAAGAAAACAAGCUAUGUUUAAAAUCUAUCAUUUUUGUUAUAAAUGGUGUCCUAAAGGAUUUAUAUGUAUUAUCUCAUGUGUUCUCAAACAUGUUGAGGCCACAUAACUGACAACGUCGAAAAUUCAAAAUCUAACAACAAUGAAGGAAAACAAAAAGAAGAGAUGA